AAUGCUGCGGGUUAUCUACAGCCGUAAAGAGGGCACUUCCUGUUUGCUUCUUUCUGGUACAGGAAUUAGCUCCUGGCAUAGUCUGGGAGCUGUGGGAGGCAGCAGGUAAGAGGGGGAAUCUGCCAGGAAUAGGGAAUAUUCAUACAGAGAUAAGAGAAGAUCCUCACCCUUUAACAUAAAAGGAGUGGAGAAUUACACAAUGGGGUCUCUGAAACUCACACACCACACUGAAAAACAUGUGGUGUCUUUACAGGUGCAUAUUGGCUUCGGGACUCAUUUUCCCUUUAGGAUCCAUUGUCAAUGGAGCAUAUGCUCAUCAAAGAGUGGUCCUGGUAAAAUUCUCUUAUUCCAGCCUUCCGUGUGAUCCAGGCUAUACGCUGACAAACUAACUGCUAAGUCAAAAGAGAGCAGUCUGGAAGCAUGAUUCACCCCAAAGGCAAAUCGCAGGACAGCAAAUUAUCUUCCAAGACUUGGCCAGCAGGGUAAUCUCUCUGAAAGCUCAUGCUGUAGUUUUGCUUAUUGGUUUAGCUGCUUGGCUGGGUGAUGAUGGCAGUGUUGUUUAGGGUUUCUUCCUUCCUUCCUUUUCUCUUGCCAUGAAGAUCAUUUGGUGACCUAGAGAGUGGGUGGGGAGGGGGCAGGAAUCUUAUCUGAAAGGUAUAGAAGAUAAAGGCAUGGGGGUUGGGCUUUCUGAGAGGGUGACCACAGUUGGCCAACUUGCUGAGGGGCCAUCAGACUCCAUGUGAGAGGGCAGAAGUGGACUGUAUCCUCUGCACAUGAAGCCUAAAGAAUGAAGGACUAGGACAUGUGUAGAAGACUUGAGGGGAGGAACUGGGGUGAAGGGCCUUCUGCCCUCCUGUUUUUUUACCACAUCCUCCUAGAGACCUUUUUCAUGCCUGUGGCUCUAAAGGCCAUCUGUAUGUUGAUGAUUCCCAAAUCCCUACCUCUACACAUCUGCCCAAGUUUCAGGUGCGUAUUCCAACUUCCCAUUGGAUGGCUCCAUUUGGCUGUCUCACAAACAUCUAAAACUCAGCUCCAAAAUGAAAUGGAUUCUCACUCACCCCUACAAAUAUACUCACCUCUCAGAUUUUCCCGGAUUACUAAGUGACGCCACCAUGAAUCAGUCUCUUAAACCAGAAACCUAAGAGUCAUGCUGAUUCUUCUUUUUCUUACCAAUCUUGUUGAACCCAACAGGAAGUCCUACUGAUCAACCUCCAAGAGGAUGGAGAAAUCCUUCAUUCCUCCCCGCAGCCGCCACACCCAGGGGCAGCCUCCUGACUGGCUCCCCUGCUUCCUCUUCUGCCAUCUACAACCCAUUCUCCAUACAUUUUGCAGUAAGGGUGACCUUGGAAUUUCAAUUAUUCUACUUUAUUCUCUCACAUCAAUGCCUUCAUUUCUCACAUGGAUUUAUAUAUGAGCUCCCUAGGGCCCUACAUUCUGCCGCUGAUCAUACCUCAAUUUUUUUUUUUUUAAGAAAGGUUUUUUUUGUUUGUUUGUUUUGUUUUAUUUUAACUAAUCUUUUGUACUUCGGGUAGAGAUAGAGUCUCACCAUGUUGCCCAGGGUGGUCUUGAACUCCUGAGCUCAAGUGAUCUGCCUGCCUCGGCCUCUCAAAGUGCUGGGAUUACAGGCGUGAGCUACCAUGCCUAGCCCAUGCCUCAAUUCUUAUCUUGUAUCAUUUCUCCACCUGGCUCAUUAUACUUCAGCUCCACUGAUUUUCUUUCCACUCCUGUAAAAUACCUACCUUAGGGAGUUUGUACAGGCUGUUUUUUUCUAGCUGUAACACCCUUCCUUCAACUGUUUGCAUUCUAUCUCAUUCUUUUUGUUCUACUUUCUCAUUUCUUUUGUUCUCACUUUUUGCUGUAUCUCAUGUCACCUCUUCAGAAAGGCCUUCCCUGAAUAGACACCUUCCCCAAUUAUUCUGUCUCUGACUCUUGCUUAUUCAAAGUUCAAAUAUUCAAAGCAUAUUUCACAAUUUAUAAUAAUGUUUUCAUUUAAUGUUUUCUUGUUUAAACCACUAGCCACUAGCCAGAGCAUUGCAUAUGAAAGAUGUUUAUGAUUAUUGUUUGGUCCAUGCAUAUUACACCCGAAUUCCACCAUCAAUAUUGCCUGAAACUCAACUGGUUGCCCAGAGUAUGUCUGUUCAGUAGACAGGGUAUGGCUGCUGUGCAGGUUACCAAGCAAACUCCAGAAAUUGUGCAGGACUAAAGUGGCUAACGUGUCAGAGGAAAUUGCUGCAUUGCAUGAGUGGAAAUAUUUUUCAGUCUUGCUUUAAGACUUCACCAUCAGCCACUCACUCAUCUGCAAGCAGGAUAGCCCCAAAUGUGCUUUAGACUUUGCUCAAUACACAUCUGAUCACUGCAUGAGGACACUUCUCUGAAAACACAGCAGGAUAGACAUAAAUUCUAGAGGUCUGCUGGACAACUGGCAGGGUAGAGGAUGAGUUUUUAAGUUGUCUUUGGUUCUAGCCUGGGACACACUGGGACACCGUGAUCUUGAGCCAGAAGAAACAGUAAUUAAACUUUGCCAGUGGCCAGGUCCUAUUCAUCAGGUUGGCAUAGAACUGAUAAGACCUGCCUUCCUAAAGGGGCAACUUAAAGGAAGGAGGAGAGUCUGAAGGGUCAAGGAUGGGUGAAGAAACAUUACCCAGGGCAGUUUGAGAAUGUGGAGAGCCCAGAAACAGAUGUAAAACUGCAUUAUGAGGAGAAUUAGGAAAGACAGGAACAUGAGUCAAGUAGAAAUGUUAAGCAGAAUCCAACCGUGUAAGGCAUGGGGUGGUCCAGCUGGAAAGUUUCUCUGAGAGCUGCCACCACCUCCCACAGCAAAAGACCUGCUCUUGAAUCUCCCAUCUGGUAGGGUGCCAGAAAUUCCACCUGCUCUGCGCUGCUGAAGAACUGUAUGCCUAAAUGGCCGUAAAAUCUCCCUGCAGUAUGAAGAAUUUGAGAAGUUGCAUCAGACUGCUGGCAAGGCACUCAGACAGAAACACAUGUCAGGGGGGAAAGGGAAGAUACAAGCCGAGACAGGCCAGGCGGCGCUGUGGAAGGAACAGCCACUUGAGCACCAGGUGGAGUGUGUGCCCUCAGGGCCCAUGUCCCAAGCCUUGACUCUGUGAAAUGACUCACUGAAGCCCAUCCCAUAACCCUGCAGUGGAAAGAUAUGCAGAUCACAAGGUGAUAGUGAGCACUUCCACUGUAUUACAUUGGGUACUCCAGGUUUUUAUAUUAAUGCCCAGGAUUUAUAUAGAGAGAGAACCAGUUAGUUCAUUCACCUUCUGUUGUAGAUAGAGAAAGCCAAAUUGAAGAUAGGAAACUUCAGGCAUGAAUUAAUUCAGUGGCUGAAAUCUCCCCAUCAAAGGCCAACCCCUUGCCCCACCUUGGGUCUGACUCUGUUCUCAGGUUCUCUCCAUAUCCAAGCUCUCUUCCUUUGUCUUUCUAAUAAGGGAAAGAGCUUUUAAACCUCAGUAGUUCUGGCAAAGAUCUCAAGACAAGCUCUGUUUGGACUGAUUUAGUCAUGUCCCUGUGUCCAAACCAAUCACUAUGAUUGGGUCUUUGGAAUACACGGAUUGGCCAGGACCUGGGUGAUGUGGGAGGAGGCUCAGUCCCACCUGAACCAUAGGGACCAAGGGGAAGAGAGUAGCAAAUUCCCCAAGGAAACAGAAAACUAUCACUAGCUGUAAGAAGGAGGAAUGGAGGCUGGAAAAGCAAAAGCAAAGGAGACUGGGAUAAACCAAGGUGGGUGUGAGUAUGUGGAAUCAACACUGAGACAUACUCAGGAAAGUUGUGAUACUGAGCCAAGUGGAAUUGGAAUGUGUGAUGAAUGAGAGGGCAAGGAGUGGACCCAGGGUACAAUAAACAGAAGGGUAACUAGGAUUACUAAGGGCAUGGAUCUAUGAGCAAGGCUUAGCCCAGGUGGCCCAGAAAUCAGAGCCUGUGGCAAAACUUUAAUUGCUAAUGUUUUGUGGGGGAGUUUCAAUCCCAGGGCAGCAAAAGUGAGGGAGAAAGGAAGUAAGGUUGGAAGGAACGGAGGGAAACACAAGAUGGGUUGCUCCUUUGUAAAGAGACACUUUACAAAGUGUGUAAGUAGCCUCUUUAUAAAGGAGCCAUCUCCAGAUGCGCUCCCUGAGCACCGUACCACAGAACAGUCCAUUGUUGGGAGGGAUGGAGAAGCGAUUUAUGUGCCGUCUUCAUUCAUCAGUUUGCCCCACAGAGUUAACUCCCAUAAACUUCCAUGACAUCAUCUGGCCCCUUCAGUAUGUGAAGACAGAUGUGUUUAACCUGUGCCUUGGUGUUUCAUCCAAGACUCUGGACAUUGGCCUCAGGCUGUAGAGUGUGAGACUGGCAGGGAGCUGACUGCAGGGGAGACACAAGCAAUAAGGGCCCAGGAGGUAGUGAGGCCAAGCAGCUCUGAGGUGGCACAUAGAAUGUGUUCAACACAAGGUUCAUGUUUUCAAUUAGGACUUUUAAAAAACAAAUAUUAGGCUGGGCAUGGUGGCUCACACCUGUAAUCCCAACACUUUGGGAGGCCGAGGCAGAUGGAUCACUUGAGGUCAGGAGUUUGAGACCAGCCCGGCCAACAUGGUGAAACCCCAUCUCUACUAAAAAUACAAAAAUUAGCCAAACAUGAUAGCAUGUGCCUAUAAUCCCAGCUACUUGGGAGGCUGAGACAGGAGAAUCGCUUGAGCCCAGGAAGUGGAGGCUGCAGUGAGCCAAGAUUGUGCCACCACACUCCAGCCUGGAAAACAGAGCGAGACCUUAUCUCAAAAAAAUAAAUAAAUAAAAAUAAAAAUAAAAACAACUAUUAAUACUAGCCCAGCACUUGGUACAUUGUAGGCCCUUGAUAAACAUUAGUCUGUGAAUAAAUGAAUAUGUGCAAGGCUUCAUGCUAGGAACUUGGGAUACAAUAACAAGGAAAGCAUAGAUUUCAGACACAUAGUCACUCAAAAGCUCUGGGGUCAGUUAGUUCAUUUUGAGGGGAGCUCAGCUAUGCUGAGGGCAGGCUGGACUUUGGAAACUUGCAGUCCUAAUUUGGGUUCCAUGGUGUAAUCACUUAAACAUGUCCAGAUAAUGGAAUUUUGGGGGCUGCCUGAGGAGCAGAAAAUUAUUUGCAAGGUAUUAUAUAAUGAAUAUAUGAUAUCUAUAUCUGUGGAGAUAAAUAUAUGAUAUUGCAGAUGGCAUAUCACUCAUACUUUUUUGAGAUUUUAUUAUUAAAAUGUUAAACCACAACCACUCACACCUACAACAACUGUAAUUACACAGCACUUAUAUGUCCCAAGCCCUGUUCGGAGUGUUUUGCCUGUGUUAACUCCUCAUUUAAUUGUCACAACACUUUUGAGAUAGUGCAUCACCCAACAGGUGGUUUUCUUAGACUCUACCAGAUGUUCAGACUUACAAAGUGACCACAGGCCACCAGCCUGUUGAGAAGGAUGUAAGACCGGAAACACAGCUCACCCCAGGGCAGCUUCAGACUGUUCCCUUCAAUGGCAGUUGGCAGUUUUGAAGUCGUCCAACAGCUCAGGUUCAGGGAAAAAAGAUCCACAGGGGGUAAGUGCAGGAUUUACUCUGGCCUAGAAGCCUCAUUCUCCACCAGACUAGAGCAGUUUCAGGUUUCAGAAAAAGUGAGUGGAAAGUACAGAAAUUUCCCAUAUACCCCCUCAGCCCUAUAUGGGCACACAGAUUCCCCUGUUAUUAUGUUAACGUCUUCCAUUAGUGUGAUAUAUUGUUUUACUUGAUGAAACAAUGUUAAUAGAUUAUUAUUAACUAAAAGUUCAUGGUUUACAAUAGGAUUCUGUGUGUUGUACAUUCUACGGAUUUUUCACAAAUGUACAGUGAUAUGUAACCAGUAUUCUAGUAUACAGAGUAGUGUCACUGCCCUAAAAAUUCCUUGUGCCACACCUAUUCAUCCUUCUGAUCCCCCUCCCCCAGCAACCACCAAUCUUUUUACUGUCUCUACAGUUUUACAUUUUCCAAAAUGUCAUCUAGUUAGAAUCAUACAGCCUUUUCAGAAUGGCUUCUUUCACUUAGUAAUAUGCAUUUAAUAUCACUGCAUGUCUUUUCAUGAUGUGAUAGCUCACUUCUUUUUAGUGCUGAAUAAUAUUUUAUUGUCUGGAUGUAUCAUGGUUUAUUUAUCCACUCACCUAUUGAAGGACAUCUUGGCUGCUGCCAAGUGUUGGCAACUAUGAAUAAAGCUGCUAUAAACAUCUGUGUCCAGGUUUUUGUGUGGACAUACGUUUUCAACUCAUUUGGGUAAAUACAAGGGAGUAUGAUUGUUCGAUUAUACGUUAAUCUCUCCUAUAGAAAUUUUUUCCUUUUCCUAUUUCUAUGUUUCAAAUUUUUAAAAAGUAUGAAAUGAGGCAUAUAUAUAUAUAUAUAUAUAUAUAUAUAUAUAUAUAUAUAUAUAUAUAAAAAAGACUUGUAUAGGUACAGCUACAAGGAUCCUGCAAAGCACAGGCCCAGUUACCAGGGUCACCAUACUCAUGGCAGCCCAAAGCAGGGCAUCCCCAUCACAUACUUACAGUUCACUUCUAAUUCCCCAAGUUCAGAUGCAAUUUACUGAUUAGGGUUCAUUCUUAUCAUAAACAAUGAUGCUGGUGAUAUAGUUAACACUUCUACUUUUUCCAGGCUACCAGGACAGAACUUGCAUAGUCAACCAAUGUUCAAGUCUCCCAGAGGAAUAACAGGUUUUGUUAAACUCUUUGUUCACAAAUAGGUGCUUUCAUUAUCCCUAUUUUUCCAGUGAAGAAACUGAUGCACAGAGUGUCAGGUAACUUACCAAGAUCACAUAGUUCAAGAUCACAGAACCAGACUCAGGCAUUUGGCUCCAGGAUCUAUGCUCAUAUGUGCCACAUUGUACUGCCUCAAGCUUUAUUUUCUUUUCUUACAAUGGAGGCAGUGUUUAUAUAAAUAGGUCCUGGGUUAAUACCCCUAGAAUAUUAAAUGAUAAACCUGUGGCCACUAAAUUUGCUAUAAGGCUGAUUUUUAUCUAAGGUCUUCUCUAUUUCUGUGCCCUGGGGGAAAUUUUUCAAAGCCCCUAAUUUCCAUGGGGUGGGGAAGUCCCCAGGAUUUCUGGGAACUUAUGCCCUCUCACGCAGUCCCCUGCACCAGAACUUACUGUCUCUACUUUCUCACAAAAAUUCUGAUGCAGAAUUUGGCCAGUUUUUCAUGAGAUUUGAUUUUCACAAGAAAUCCAAUCACCUCAAGCUUUUUGUCAAAUUUUCUGAAUGUUCAUAGGGUCAUAGAGAGGAGUUACCCUGUGCCGUUCAUAAUAUUCCACCGAACAUGGCAUUUCUUCAUGUCCCUUGUUCUCUCUUUCCUGUCUCUCCCUUCUCCCUCAGCCCCACUCUAGUUGCAAACACAUUUCUCCAUGUCUCCUUCCUUCCUCAGAAGACCUACAGAGACUUAUUUCUCUUAACAGCCUUCUCAAGGAUCUACCCAUAAUAAAGAACCUAUGUAGCAUUUGCCAUAUAGCAUUUUUCUUUCUCGUUAUACUGUGAUAGAGUCAGCUGCUCAAUAGUCAGCUCUAAUAAGGCUCUUGGGGGCUCUAUCUGAUAUCAGCGAUGUAAUCAUCAGAAAUGUGUUACUAAAGAUCUUUGUUUAGUGUCUAUUACAUUCUUAUAUUCUACUUUUAAUUUUCCUUUCAGUACAGCCAACUAAAUGGUAGAGAGAGCAGUAGCAAUUUUGUAUUUGUUAUUUAGCUGGGAUCACACUUUUCUUGUAAACCUCAAACUCUGCAGCCCAAGAAUCAUUUUAUCCAGUUGCUCUACUCUGUGUCAUUGAAUGCUCAUUAAGUCAGGAUAUAAAGGAGCUUCAUUUACAAUACUUGUCUUUGUUAAUAUUUGGCCACAUCUGCAGUUGGCAAAUGAACAGACUGAAACAUUUCUUCUCUCUUUCUUUUACUAAUAUUUUCAAGUUUCCCAUGUUAUGUAAUUUAGGUCAGAACUAAAAUUUCCUGUAAGACCUUGUAUUCACUAGGUUUUAGUUCAAUUCAACUCUGCAAGCAUUUUGAAUGCCUGUUCUUUGCAAGGCACCAUGCUAGGUAAUGGGAGAGGUGCCAGGAUGACUGUUGGUUUGUCAUUGACCUGGAGAAAGCCUAGUAGAACAGGAAACAUGAACCCAAAUCACUGUGACAUAAGGUAGAUUAUAACCACCCUAAGAGAAAGGUGCAGAUCUUGUGUUAUGGGAUUUUAAGAGGAAAGAGUGAUCACAUUCAGUUGGGAAGAUCAGGAGAUAGCAUUAGGUUUGUCUUUAAAGACCAAGUAGAAUCUUGAGGGACUGGAGUGUUGAGGAGCAUAUUCAACAAAAGCAAGUGCCUAGAAGUGAGAAAAUAAGGGACACAGUGAGAAAUCAGCAGGAUGGGCUUAGUGUGAUAAGUGGGAAAGAUAGGGCAUAUUUGAAGGAUGUUGUCUCUAACCAGGUGCAGUGUGGAAAAUCUGCCUUAAAAUAGUGAAAAUAGUUGAGGCUGGAAAGCCUUCCAGUCUUAAAGUUACAAGCAGUCGGGUGAAGGCUAGAAUCUACCAUUGGGGCCAAACUGCUAAGUCGGUUUUUUACAAACAUAAUUUCAAUGGGCCUUUUAAUUAUGUAGGUGUAAGGGCAAGUACUCACUAUUUUUCUUAAAGAAAGUCGAAAUGCAGUGCAGUAACCCAAAUGCAAAUGCUCUGGACAGUCUAUUUAGUAAUGUAAAUUGGGUAUAUCUUAAGCUCAAUUAUGUUCCUGCAGAGGUAUAAAUUUUUUCCCCUCAAUCUAGAUUUAGAAUUUAUGUCUGAAAAAUGCUGGUUGUUCUUGGGAAAUGUGUGUAUGGGUUCUUGUCCUGCAUUUGUUUAUAGGAGAUCAGGAAUGAAAACAGGGCUAUAUUAGGGUUCAUGUGAAAGACCAUUCUGCACUUCACCGCAUGCUGGAGAAAAGGCUGUAAAGGAAUUGCAUCUGGCUUGGGGCUGUGCUUCCAGGCUGCUUCUGGUUAUCCCACAUUGCUGUUACAUAAGACUGGACAGCCUAACUUUAGUCAGUGUGGUCUGGGAGGACUGGACUUGCUGAGUCACAGAAGCCUAAUUCUUUAGAGGUAGGUUAGCAGGUAGAGGGAGAAGAGUCCUUAGAGUCAUUCUUCCUGGGAAGAAAAUCCUUCCAAAUCAGGAAACAAAGUGGUCACUGGCUGGGGUAGAGAAUGAUGUUUUCCCCUCUCCAGGCCUGGGGAUCUGUUGGAUCCGAACUGUCUAGCAUGGACGUCGCGGGAGCACACGUGCUAGAGUGAGCCAACCCCUCCACAUGGAGGCAGGCCAGCGUUAAGGCAGAAAUCACUCUAUUUAAAGACUCUCAAAUGGUGAUUUAGGAUGUGGGCUUGAAGAGUAGCAAUGUUUAGCAGCAGUUUGACAUUAUUCUUUGUAUUACACUUGUGUUAACCUCAAGCCCUGAAGUUUUAUGUAAAAGCCACAGCCUGGCCUGAGGUGUGCCGCGGGCAAUGAAGAAGCACCCAUCUAAUGGCCAUGGGGCUGCAGUGCACUUUCUCUGAGGCAUAAGAGGAUUGAGCAGAAAUAGCUGGGCUUUCUUUUGCAAUGGAGGAGCACAGUGGCCACCACGUGGAAAGCAGGGACAGCGCCAGAGAGAACCAAAGAGACCUGCUCCAGAUCGCACACGAGGCAGUGUCCAGGAACUCCACAAAAAACCUGGCAAAAUACCCAGCCAAACGCAGCUGAAGGACAUUCUACACACAGGCUGGUACCCCUCAGGAAUGUCCAUUUCAUCAAAGGAACAGAGAGGGUGAGGACUAUUCCAAGGAAAAGGACAUGAGAGGCAUGACAACAAAAUUGAAGGGUGUGAUCCUGGACUGGCUCUUGGAUCAAAAAAAUAAAUGCCCUAGAGGACAUUUAAUUAUUGGCAUAAUUGGUGAAAUUUUCAUAUGAGGUGUAUGUUGGGUAAUAGAAAUGUGUAUUGCUGUUAAAUUUCCUGAAUUUGUUUAUUGAAUUAUGGUUAUGUAAGAGAAAGUUCUUGUCCUUAGGAGGCAUUUAGAAGUAUGAUCAGGUAUUUAAGAGUGAAAGGUCAGGGUCAUAUUGUGUGAAAGUUAUUUUCAAAUGGUUUAGCCAGAAAGUUAAUAAUGGUUGUGUGUGUGUGUGUGUGUGUGUGUGCAUAGAAAGAGAGAGAGAAAGGCAAAUGUGGCACUAAAGAACAAUAAUUUCAUGAGUAAUUACUCAAUGCAUAAUAAUUUAUUAUCAAAAGUGUGACUUUAGUAUAGAAAGUAGACUUUAUUUACAUGUAUCAAAUGGUAUAUCUUGGUAAGGUCUGCACCAUAUACAUCAUGUUCAUAAUCCUUAACAUUCAGAGGCACUUUGAUAAUCAUGCAUAGCACGUAGUAAUGCAUCCCUUUUUCUCCAUCUUGUAAUGGUGAUUUAGAUGUACAGUUUUCUAAUUGCUUGUUUCUUAUGUUAUGAUGGAAAACGGAUGUGUUGUUUGGCAUGAUUGCUUCACUUGCUACCCUGAAAAUACAUUGACUUCAAUCAUUUUUGGCAUCCCUAACACCUAGCAAUGUCCUCCUAAUGGUGGUUAACAAACAAAUCUACUGCAUGGAUUGAAUAGCUGUAUAAAUAGCAUGUAAAGGGGUCAAUGAAGUACCACCACGUUAAGAGAUACAUAGCACGGGCAUCUCCUGAUAAGAUCAGUGGACAGACGCCAUCUAGAAACAUCUCUUUCCACUUGUGUGCCAUGGUAUCCUCUUUAAUCCAGAUUCACAGCUGACUUUAGACCUGGUUCCUCUAUGACUUGGAGACACUCUAGUCUUAUUCCUUCCUAGUAAUGGAUCUCAGCAAAUGACUCUCCUUCUGAGCACUCCUUGUUUUUGGCAUUUGCUAAGUCCAUUAGUUCAGUUACAACCCUUGAGUAGGUAAAAAUUUUGACCUUCACCAUCCAGUUUAUUCCCUAAAGCAGACUUUUCUGUUAGAGACCACACUGAAUCACAUGUCAAGCCUAUUACAAAUUAUUGACCAAAACACAGAAUUCUUGACUGGAAAGAGAUAACUAUCAAACCUUCCUGGUUGGGAAUGUAUCCAGUGGGAGACACAUGUUAUAGGCAGAAUAGGCAGAGUAGAAUGGGUACAUGUUAGCCAAAGCCAAAAAAGAGUGUCUGUACAUUUUAAGGACUAUAGUCAUCUUUUUGCUUUUCCUCCUGUUUUUGAGGUUGCCAUAAAUAUGCACAUAAUUCAAAAUUCCUUAAGUAUCAGGGAGUAUUUGUUAACUUACUCUCCUCCCAGUAUUCUUACAUUAUCAAAAUUACAUCUUAAAUAUGAUUUAGGUUUUUUUGUUUUUAAUUUUUUAAUUUUUUUUUAUUUUUACAGUCACAUAGUAGGUACAUUUUUAUGCGGUACAUGAGAUAUUUUGAUAUAGGCAUACAAUGUGUAAUAAUCACAUCAAGGUAAAUGGGGUAUCUAUAACCUUAAGUAUUCAUUAUUUCUUUGUGUUAGAAGCAUUCCAGUUACACUCUUUUAGUUAUUUAAAAGUGUACAAUAAGUUGUUGUUGACUGUAGUUAUCUUGUUGAAUAAAGAUCAAAUACUAGAUCUUUAUUCAUCCUAUCUAACUAUAUUUUUUGUACCCAUUAAUUAUUCCCAUUUCCUUCUCCCUCCCAAAGUGUGAUUUGAUUAAUGAAUAAACAAAUGAGACUCCAGGCCAAGAAGUGCUCAGUUCUAAGUGUCUUACUCCAAUGUAUUAUUGAUUUAAAUAUGACCAUCCAUUUCAUAAAGAAAAAGAUUAAGGGCAAUAAGGGUAGUAAUUCAUAUUCAGAGAUGAAGAAUACGGCAGACAUAAAUUCUUACUUGGCAGCUGUUAAAAAGUUAAUGGAUAAAAAGAAAAAACAACCAGUCAUUUUCUAUUUCACCUUGUUUUCUCCCUAGGUGAUGUUUAUCAGAUUCUAAAAGCUCAAACAAAGGCUUUGGUUAAGUCUUGAAUGAGAGAGAAUUUUAUGAGAACCCCUAGCUGCCAGAAACACUGACAUAAUUGAGCCACUAUCUGAAAUUGUUGUGAACAAGAAGCUAAGUAUUGCGUAAGGGUGGGC
rnacentral:lncRNA from 1 species